rnacentral:rRNA from 1 species
UAAGGAACUCGGCAAAUUGCAUCCGUAACUUCGGGAGAAGGAUGACCCUGAGUAGGCGAAAGGGAGAAACCCCCGGAACAGAAAAGGGUGGCAGAAAAGAGGCCCAAGCAACUGUUUACCAAAAACACAGGUGCCUGCGAAAGCGAAAGCUGAAGUAUAGGUGCUGACGCCUGCCCGGUGCUGGAAGGUUAAGGAGAGAGGUCAGCGAAAGCGAAGCUUUGAACUGAAGCCCCAGUGAACGGCGGCCGUAACUAUAACGGUCCUAAGGUAGCGAAAUUCCUUGUCGGGUAAGUUCCGACCCGCAUGAAAGGCGUAAUGAUUUGGGCACUGUCUCAACGAGGGGCCCGGUGAAAUUGAAAUACCUGUGAAGAUGCAGGUUACCCGCGACUGGACAGAAAGACCCCAUGGAGCUUCACUGCAGCUUGAGAUUGAAUCCCGGUGACAUAUGCACAGGAUAGGUGGGAGGCUAAGAAGUAAUGCCUUUGGGUGUUACAGAGCCGAUGUUGGGAUACCACCCUUAUGUUGCUGAGAUUCUAACACGGAGACUAACAACCUCGUGGACCAUCUCAGGCAGGCGGUUUGACUGGGGCGGUCGCCUCCUAAAAUGUAACGGAGGCGCCCAAAGGUUCCCUCAGGCCGGACAGAAACCGGCCGAAGAGUGCAAAGGCAGAAGGGAGCUUGACUGCGAGACAGACAAGUCGAGCAGAGACGAAAGUCGGGCUUAGUGAUCCGGUGGUACUGAGUGGAAAGGCCAUCGCUCAACGGAUAAAAGCUACCCUGGGGAUAACAGGCUAAUCUCUCCCAAGAGUUCAUAUCGACGGGGAGGUUUGGCACCUCGAUGUCGGCUCAUCACAUCCUGGAGCUGGAGUAGGUUCCAAGGGUUGGGCUGUUCGCCCAUUAAAGUGGUACGCGAGCUGGGUUCAAAACGUCGUGAGACAGUUUGGUUCAUAUCCAUCGCGGGCGCAAGAAGUUUGAGGGAGGCUGCUCCUAGUACGAGAGGACCGGAGUGGACGGAUCAACGGUGUACCAGUUGUCACGCCAGUGGCACGGCUGGAAAGCCGCAUCCGGAAAGGAUAAACGCUGAAAGCAUCUAAGCGUGAAGCCCGUCCCGAGAUGAGACUUCUCAUCAGCAAUGAGUAAGACCCCUUAAAGACGAUGAGGUUGAUAGGCUGUGAGUGGAAGUGGCGCAAGUCAUGGAGCGACGCAGUACUAAUAGGUCGAGGUCUUACCAAA